rnacentral:rRNA from 1 species
GUGGGGAAUAUUGCGCAAUGGGGGAAACCCUGACGCAGCGACGCCGCGUGAGCGAAGAAGGCCUUAGGGUUGUAAAGCUCUGUUUUAAGGGACGAAUGUCGUGGGGAGUAAUAUGCUCUGCGAAUGACGGUACCUUAAGAGGAAGCCCCGGCUAACUACGUGCCAGCAGCCGCGGUAAGACGUAGGGGGCGAGCGUUGUCCGGAAUUACUGGGCGUAAAGAGCACGUAGGCGGGAACUUAAGUCAGGUGUGAAAGACCGGGGCUCAACUCCGGGGUUGGACUUGAAACUGGGUUUCUUGAGGGCAGGAGAGGAAAGCAGAAUUCCUGGUGUAGCGGUGAAAUGCGUAGAAAUCAGGAGGAAUACCAGUGGCGAAGGCGGCUUUCUGGACUGACCCUGACGCUGAGGUGCGAAAGCGUGGGUAGCAAACAGGAUUAGAUACCCGGGUAGUCC